AAAUAGUCUGGCCUGCUCACUGACACAGGAUUGUUUAAGAGCCGCGGUAUUUUGACCGUGCAAAGGUAGCAUAAUCAUUAGCUUUUUGAUUGAAAGCUUGUAUGAAUGGUCGGACAAAGGAAAAGCUGUCUUUAUUGUAAAAUUGGAAAUUAACCUCUAAGUGAAAAGGCUUAGAUUUUUUAGGGGGACGAUAAGACCCUAUAAAGCUUUACAUAUAAGUAGAGUUUACUUAAUUAAAAAGUAAAAGUUUAAUCUAAUUAAUGUGUUUUGUUGGGGCGACAUAAAUAUAAUUUAUAUUAACUGUUUAUAAAUUAAUACAAUAAUAAAUGAUUCUAAUGUAAUUGAUCCUUAUUAAAGAUUAAAAGACUAAGUUACUUUAGGGAUAACAGCGUUAUUUCUUUUGAGAGCUCCUAUCGAAAAAGAAGUUUGCGACCUCGAUGUUGAAUUAAAAUAUCUAAAUAAUGCAGCAGUUAUUUAAGAAGGUCUGUUCGACCUUUAAAUUUUU
rnacentral:rRNA from 1 species